GGAAAUUCGUUAUGUGACUACGGUGGAACAUACGCUGAAACAUAAUUUGGACCCCUCUUUGCGCUGCUGCUUUGUAUGCCGAGAGUAUUUCCGCACUGAUGAUGAGUAUGAGUAUACCAGUCAUUUCGAAAAAUUGCACAGUGAGAAAUUUCUUAUUAUUGCGACGCAGGAUCGAUUAGAGACUAGUCAAAAGUUUAACGAUGUCCUUAAUCCAGUGACAAUAUUCACGAUUUGCAACGUAUACCAUACAGCCCUAAUCAAAAAACAAGAAAAUACGGGUCUAAUAUUUUACAAUAAAGAACAAAUCUACCACUUUCCACGAAAAUCGGAGAACCACUAUAUCGGUUCGACAUGCAAUGACUGAUACAUAUGAGGCAAUCUACAGAAAAAAGGUUUACCUUUGGAAUUCAACAUCCUAUAUUUUCUCGUACCAUUAAGUUCAUGGCGCAUUUGAUGUCGGUCAUCGUAGCUGCUGCUAUGGAAAUGACGUGAGCAUAUACCUUGAUUUUUCUGAGGCUUCCAAUCCUUCGAUUGGCCACAGAAAAGUAUCCAUUUAUGAAGUCUAUCUCCAUCUCGGGGGAAAGUGUGGUAAACAAUGUCCGGGUUGUUUUUCGUUAUGCGGACCUUGUUUCCGCAUCCUUUUACUGCACAAUAAUACGGCAUCUGAAGAAAAUAAGAUAUUCACAAUAUAAUUUUGGCAUGAUAGAGAACCGCGAGAUGAACGAUUAUCUGUGGAGGAGUUGGACAACAGAUUUCUUAGACUUAUAGCACUUUAAUCACACUCACAAGCUCUUCAAAUCCUCACUGUCCCCCAAAACUAUUGAAUAAUAUUUGUUUUCCUCAGCGAGUUGAUAUGAAACCAUAACGACACAACCAAACAAAAAGUAAACAAUGCAGAAAGCUACGUCUCGCAACUCGUCUCACGUAUUGUCAUGAAAGUGUCAAGAACGAAACACCUAUAGUUUAGCAUCUUGCUAGGUGGCUACGAUGAGCAGGACUUGAUGACAGGUUGGAAUGGUAGGAAAGUGGAAUGGUUGGAACGGAAGAAUUCGGGAAGAAGGAAAGGAGGAGGUUCGAGAAAGGAAUUGGAAAGGAAUUGAGGGCUCUUGGGUUUCGACCGCGGAAGCGUGCAGACCGAUCGAACCGAUCUAAGUUUUAUUUCAGGUCUAUCAUUUCGGUUUGUAAUACCACGUUGUGAUUCCGACAUAUUAAGCGGUGAAACCGGUUAAAAUAACCCUGGUCGCUGAUCAUCAAGGUGUUCAGCUAAACGCCAAGGACCAGCGAAAAGAGUGUGCCUGUCUCGCCCUCAUCAGCCCCGUGCUGGUACGGCUCACCGUAAAGGAGCUACGCAGGCCAGUUGUCACGAGGUUUUUCGUCACGCUCACCUCGUUAACCACCAAGGACGACCAGGAAGUUGCCACUUCACAUCACGUUAGCUGCCGAUCGCCGUUAUCCCACAUCGACCACCACCUCGUCGACGCCAUUCCCGACUACGCCGUAGCCGAACACCACCCGCCAGUACCCGCCACCAAUCGAGUAGAAGACCGAUAUCAACCAGUAACCGGAGAAGGAUCCGUGAGUCAAUAAAUAUUGUUCAUUAACCUGAAAAUUACUUCUUUUCGCUAACCCAAAUCCGAAAGCUUUCCCACACAAC